GUAUCUGGAUGGAACAACUGAUAUUACACGGACUGUUCAUUUUGGAAAACCUACUGCACAUGAGAAAACAUGUUACACUGCGGUUCUCAAAGGACAUAUUUCAUUGGGUAAUGCACGGUUUCCCAAUGGAACAAAUGGUUAUGCUCUUGAUGUUCUUGCUCGAACUCCUUUAUGGAAGUAUGGGCUUGACUAUAGGCAUGGUACAGGUCAUGGGAUCGGGUCUUACUUAAAUGUCCAUGAAGGACCUCAUCAGAUCAGUUUCAGACCAUCAGCGCAGAAUGUGCCACUACAAGUUUCAAUGACAGUCACAGAUGAACCUGGUUACUACGAGGAUGGAAAGUUUGGUAUAAGAUUGGAGAAUGUG
rnacentral:misc_RNA from 1 species